AGAUAUGGAUAUGAGAGGCAUUCUUCCACAGAAGAAGCUUAACCACUUUGGUCCUUGAGAUCUUUGCUUGAUCAAAACUUCUACAAGAGUGCUGGCAUGCUGGAGUCAGCUAGAAUUGGAUUGCCAGAGCCUGUUGUGUGCACCUGUGCCCAACUCUGUCCAGCGACCUCAGCCUCCUUUCACAGAGGCUGAAUUUCAAUCAGCUGCUACCAGUUGACAAUGAUAAAAUUAUCUCUAUAUGGGCAAAUGCGUGCUCUUUAUUGAAAAAGAAAGCUUCAGCUUCAUGUUCCAGGUGAGUUAAUUACGCAAUGUAUGAAUGCUAAUAUCUCUUUCACAUAUUUUGCUUAAGAUCUGUCUUAGGACUCUUGUCUGGCCCAUAUGGUUUUCCAAGGGCAGAAGAGCCUCUUUUUGUUGAGAGGCAGUUUUCAGUAACUCUUAAAGUGAUCACAGCAAAGGAGAGGAGAGAGAAGA
rnacentral:lncRNA from 1 species